UACGGAGGGAGCUAGCGUUGUUCGGAAUUACUGGGCGUAAAGCGCACGUAGGCGGCUUUGUAAGUUAGAGGUGAAAGCCCGGAGCUCAACUCCGGAAUUGCCUUUAAGACUGCAUCGCUUGAAUCCGGGAGAGGUGAGUGGAAUUCCGAGUGUAGAGGUGAAAUUCGUAGAUAUUCGGAAGAACACCAGUGGCGAAGGCGGCUCACGGGACCGGUAUUGACGCUGAGGUGCGAAAGCGUGGGGAGCAAACAGG
rnacentral:rRNA from 1 species